rnacentral:rRNA from 1 species
CAAUCGAACCCGGAGAUAGCUGGUUCUCCCCGAAAUAGCUUUAGGGCUAGCGUCGGAAAGAACCUUAGUGAAGGUAGAGCACUGAAUGUGUGAUGGCCCCAUCCCGGGGUACUGAAUACAAUCAAACUGCGAAUGUCAUUAAGGAUGUCCGGCAGUCAGACUGUGAGUGAUAAGGUCCAUGGUCAAGAGGGAAACAGCCCAGACCGCCAGUUAAGGUCCCAAAAUACAGGCUAAGUGGAAAAGGAUGUGGGGAUGCCCAGACAACUAGGAGGUUGGCUCAGAAGCAGCCAUCCUUUAAAGAGUGCGUAACAGCUCACUAGUCGAGUGACCCUGCGCCGAAAAUGUACCGGGGCUAAGCCUGAUACCGAAACUGCGGAUUGUAGGAAACUAUAGUGGUAGGGGAGCGUUGUAUACGAGCAGAAGCCGUACCGUGAGGAGCGGUGGAUUGUAUAGAAGUGAGAAUGCCGGUGUGAGUAGCGAGAUGUAGGUGAGAAUCCUACACACCGAAAGCCCAAGGAUUCCAGGGGAAGGUUCGUCCGCCCUGGGUAAGUCGGGACCUAACGCGAGGCCGAAAGGCGUAGUGGAUGGAAAGCAGGCGAAAGAUUCCUGCACCCGUAUAUGGAGCGAAGGAGUGACGGAGACGGAUAGUGUGACCCUCUUAAUGGAUUGAGGGCGAAGCGAAGCGGCUGGUUACCAGGCAAAUCCGGUAACCAUAAGGCUAGAGCGUGACAGGUAAGCGAAAUCUUCGGAAAGUAGCGAAGCACAUGAUGACGGCUUCCAGGAAAAGCUUCUGGCAAUGCAUAUGCGGCCCGUACCAAAACCGACACAGGUGGGCAGGGAGAGAAUCCCGAGGUGAGCGAGAGAACUGUUGCCAAGGAACUCGGCAAAAUGACUCCGUAAGUUAGCGAGAAGGAGUGCUUAAGCAAUUAAGCCGCAGUGAAGAGGCCCAAGCGACUGUUUAACUAAAACACAGCUCUCUGCGAAGUCGCAAGACGAAGUAUAGGGGGUGACACCUGCCCGGUGCUGGAAGGUUAAGAGGAUCUGUUAAGAGCGAUCUGAAGCAGUGAUCCGAAGCCCCAGUGAACGGCGGCCGUAACUAUAACGGUCCUAAGGUAGCGAAAUUCCUUGUCAGGUAAGUUCUGACCCGCACGAAAGGUGUAACGAUUUGGGCGCUGUCUCGGCAGCAGACUCGGUGAAAUCUUAGUACCUGUGAAAAUGCAGGUUACCCGCAACUAGACGGAAAGACCCCAUGGAGCUUUACUGCAGCCUGAUAUUGAAUUCUGGUCAUACAUGUACAGGAUAGGUGGGAGACAAAGAGACGUGCACGCCAGUGUACGAGGAGUCGACGUUGGGAUACCACUCUUGUGUGACCGGGGUUCUAACCUGGUAUCGAGAACAGGUACGGGGAGAGUGUCAGGUGGGCAGUUUGACUGGGGCGGUCGCCUCCCAAAGAGUAACGGAGGCGCCCAAAGGUUCCCUCAGCGCGGCCGGAAAUCGCGCGAAGAGUGUAAAGGCAGAAGGGAGCUUGACUGAGAGCCAAACACGGCGAUCAGGUACGAAAGUAGGGCUUAGUGAUCCGGUGGCAUCCAAGUGGAAGGGCCAUCGCUCAACGGAUAAAAGCUACCCUGGGGAUAACAGGCUAAUCUCUCCCAAGAGUCCAUAUCGACGGGGAGGUUUGGCACCUCGAUGUCGGCUCAUCACAUCCUGGGGCUGAAGUCGGUCCCAAGGGUUGGGCUGUUCGCCCAUUAAAGUGGUACGUGAGCUGGGUUCAGAACGUCGUGAGACAGUUCGGUCCCUAUCCAUCGCGGGCGCAAGAGAUUUGAAGGGGGCUGCUCCUAGUACGAGAGGACCGGAGUGGACGAACCAAUGGUGUACCAAUUAUCUCGCCAGAGGUAUAGUUGGGUAGCUACGUUCGGAAAGGAUAAACGCUGAAAGCAUCUAAGCGUGAAACCAGCCUUAAGAUGAGAUCUCUCAUAGAGUAAUCUAGUAAGACACCUUGGAGAAGACGAGGUUGAUAGGUCGGGAGUGUAAGUACAGUAAUGUAUUCAGCGGACCGAUACUAAUAUGUCGAGGGCUUGACUUA